CACCCUCUCCAGGUGUGAUGAGCAAGUGCCCGAAUGAGGUAAGCUAUGAAGUGCUAAUUGAGGCUCUUGCCAAUGAUGGCAAGCCGAGGCUAGCAUAUGAGUUGUAUGUGAGAGCUCUAACUGAAGGCCUGAGUCUUUCUACAAAGGCUUAUGAUGCAGUCAUCUCAUCUACACAGGCAUAUGGUGCAAGUAUUGAUCUAAGCAUUCUUGG
rnacentral:misc_RNA from 1 species